GCCCUUUCUCACCACGGGUCCGAAGGUGGCAGGGGUGAGAAAGACAGGGGGGGGCUUCACAACAGCUGCAGCCUUGCACCCAGUACAAGGGACGCUGUCCAAGGUCUUCUCCCCGCCCUCAGGUACCCAGGCCACAGAGGGACUCUUGAGGCCGGCAGUAGAAGGAAGGAGGAUGGAUGGGGGAAAGCGAGAAGAAAAGCCGGAGAAUGGGACGUGGAGGAUGGAGGAGAGAAAAAGGUGGUGGGGACCAAGGAGUCAGGAAGGGGAGAAUGAGGGAAUUGGAAGCUCCUAGGGCCGAGGCCGGAGCCGGGGCUGGAGGGGCCCUUACUUUGCUCUUCACCUCGACGAUGCUGUCGGGACUGCGUGCUGGAGUCCUCUGCGGCCUGGCCAUGGCGGGGCCAGGCGGACCGGGGAUGAUGCCCCAGGCGGACCGCCGAGGCGCAGGUGCACAGCCCGGCCGGCCCGCGCCGCCCCGCCCCUGGCGGUAGCACUCGCCCCGCCCCCCUGUCCGGACCGUGACGUCAAGAGGGCAGCGACGGUGAGUUGAACGCGGAGUCCACGUUUCCUAGGAAACGGAGAUAAGGGUGGGAGAAUCUUUGCGUCCUUCUACGUCAUUACGCUACGGUCCCCGCGUCCCGGGAAUCUGGGGGAGGGGCUUGGCCAAUCCGAGGGGGGAGAGAGGGAAGUAUUUGUUGAAUGCUGUGUACUUUUUUGUAAUUUAUCAUGUUAAUCUUUUUUAAAAUUAAUUAUUUUUUUGGCUGUGUUGGGUCUUUGUUGCUGGGCGCGGGUUUUUUUCUAGUUGCCGCAAGCGGGGGCUACUCUUUCGUCGCAGUGGGCAGGCUUCCCAUUGCGGUGGCUUCUCUUGUUGUGGAGCACGGGCUCCAGUGGUUGUGGCACGCGGGCUCAGUAGUUGUGGCUCACGGGCUCUAGAGCGCAGUCUCAGUAGUUGUGGCGCACGGGCUCAGUUGCUCAGCGGCAUGUAGGAUCCCGGACCAGGUUUCGAACCCGUGUUCCCUGCAUUGGCAGGCGGAUUCUUAACCACUGCGCCACCAGGGAAGCGUGAAUGCUAUGUACUUUUAUUUCCACUGGCCUAACAAGACUGCGCAUUUUGUAGAUGAGGAAACUGAGUCACAACAAAUAAUUGCUGAACUCCUUGGGGUCACAGGCGUUGAAGUGGCUUUGAGCCACCCACUCGGACCACCCUUGGCUGCAGCCUCAGGCCCCAGAUCCUUCCCACUCCAUCGGAGCCAGCCCUUGGCCCCUUCCUGCCCAGUGCCACAGGAGUCUUGAAGAACGGCGCAAACGCCCGGUCGCUGCUUGGAGAGAUGCUCGGGUAAGAGUAAGCAGGACAGCAUACAGUUGAACCAACACGGGUCUGCAAACAAGUUCCCGAAUAGGACGCGCUCGUGCGCACGCGCGGGCACGCUCAUGGGCGGGACCUCGACCUCAGGUCCCGCCCAGCCGCCGUACGUUUCCUCUUCCGAGGAGAGGCGGGGCCGUAGCGCCCGCGGGAAACGCGGUACCGGUUUGCUCGGCUGGCAACAGCCGCGGGAAUGGCAAGCUUGGGGAGUUUGGUCCUGCGGCCUUGGAUUCGAGAGCUGGUUCUAGGGUCAGAGGCACUCUCAAGCCCGCGGGCGGGGCAGCUGCUCAAGGUACUGCAGGAGGCCGAGGCCCCGGGCCCGUCCCGCGCUCCCGACACGUCUGAAGGGGCCACGCUACUUGUGUCCGACGGGACCCACAGUAUUCGAUGCUUGGUGACGCGGGAGGCUCUGAACGCCUCGGACUGGGAGGAGAAGGAGUUCGGUUUUCGAGGGGCAGAAGGCCGGCUGCUGCUACUGCAAAACUGCGGGGUCCGCGUCCAAGUCGCCGAGGCAGGCGCGCACGCGGAGUUCUACCUCCAGGUGGACCGCUUCAGCCUGCUGCCCACGGAGCAGCCCCGGGAACGGGUGACUGGUUGCAACCAGGACCCGGAUGUGCGGAAAAAGCUCUAUGACUGCUUGCAGGAGCACCUUUCAGAGUCCACCUCCCCCAGUGCAGGCCUUUCACUGUCCCAACUUCUGGAUGAGGUAGAGGAGGACCAGGAGCAUCGGGGGGCGCUAGUGAGCCUGGCUGAGAGCUGUCUGAUGCUGGCAGGCCCUUGCACAGCACCCCCCCUCACCCGCUGGGCGGCCUCACGCUGCAGAGCCACGGGAGAAGCUGUGUACUCUGUCCCCAGCCUAUGGCUGCACAUCUCUGAGAAUGACCAGCAAAUCCUGAGCUCUCUGGGCCCAGGCCAGAGGGCACAGGGCCCUGAGCUACCCCCACCACACCCGGCUCUACAGGACCUAUCGCUGACUCUCAUCUCCUCUCCUCCUUCCUCACCCAGUUCCUCAGGAGCCCCUGCCCUACCCAGCCACAUGCUGUCAGAGGAAAGUGGUGCCAGUAUCAGCCUUCUACCUGCCUUGCCCUUGGCUGCUGCAGACCCAGCGCAGAAGGGCAGCUCCCAGCCCCUGUCAGCCAUCUGCUCAGCCCAUGGCCCCCUGCCCCCCAGUUCUCCACGCCCCAGCCAUGUACCCAACUCCCCACCCCUGAGCUGCACCCCAAGUCUGUCACCCCUUGGCCAUGCCCCCAGUCUACACCAAGCCCCUGUAACCAUGGCCCAGAGACCUAGUCUGGAGUUCAAGAAGCUAGAGUUACCCCCUAAGACUCGGCAGCCCUCUCCAAGGACAAGAACCACCAAGGAAGCCCUGGAGUCCAGCUCUGUCUGGACACAAUACCCGCCCCCUUCAGGACCCCGCAAAGACGCAUCGUGACGGUUCUGCCUUCCAAUAUGAGUAUGAGCCACCCUGCCCCUCCCUGUGUGCCCAGGUCCAAGCUGCCAGGCUCCCUCCCCACCUUGUGGCCUGGGCCUUGCACUUUCUGAUGGAGCCACAGCCAGAGGCUGAACUAACCCAGGUGUGAGGGGUCAUGAGCACGUGGGAGGAUGCGUGCACGGGUCCGUGCCUGGGGGUGGAUAAACAGGGCUUCACACCAGCUUCCUUUAAGUUUUUUAAUAAAAUAAUCUCAUGCGGCAGGAAAGGAGAAGGUCAGGGGUUGGGGCCGCCGCCUCUUUGGUCUGUGGCUGGGGAUGGUGGGCUCCGCUCAGGGUCUGAGGGCUCUGUAGACUGUGGGGGUAUAGGCUCGGCUCCGAGGCCAGAUCCUGCACAGGGAGAGAGGAAGGGUCAGGACUGGAGUGAGCAGGCCUGCCGCCCACCCAACUGGCUCCAGCCCCCUUUACCUAUGCUUGGAGAUGGAGGUGCCUCAAGCUUUGGCCUGCGCUUGAGGACAGGGGAGCGCUGCAGCCGCCGGGGCCGUUCUGAGGGAUACAGAAAGACUUGGGGAGGGUUGCUAAGGGCUUGCUGCCUGUCCUCGACCCCCACGCACACUUGCCUUCAGAGCCUCCCCCUUCCCCAGCAUCCUCCCACCCCUGGCAGAGGUUGCUUUUGUGGAGGUAGAGCCAGGGCUAGUAGGAAGGGCUUCUCAGACCCUUGCUCCUGGCCUCUGGCUCCCUGAUUUCUCAACCCCUCACGCCACUGGUGGCCCCCUCCGAGGACCAGAGCCUCGAAGGGAGCCCCCCCUCCCCCAUCUCCUCCUGCACUCAAGCACACAUGGAGGUGUCUCCCCUCACCAACAGGGGCCUGGAGCUGGUCCUCAUGCACAGACACUGCUCGUCGACCCGCCAAGAGAGGCCUCGGCCUCAGCUGGCCAUCUGGGGGAGGCCAGGGUAUCAGGGUAUGGUCCCAACAGCUGCCCCCGCUCCAGCCCUUGCCUCCCACCUUCAGGGUCUCCAGAGGAGCUGAGUUCCCAGCAGGGACUCCUCCAGGCCCUAGCCCAGUAUUGGGUGGGGGUUAGGGUACCUGCUUACCUUCAUUCCUGGAGCCUAAGCAAGAAUCCUCUGGGAGGCCCAGGCUGUCUGGGGAGGGGCUGGCUCUUCGGAGGCUUGGGCUGGGACAAGGGGAGGGGGGGCCUGGACCAUCCUGUUGACCCCAGCCACGGCCCCUGAGCUCUGCAUUCAGCUGCUGCCCUAGUGUCUUCCAGGUGGCAGACUCGGGCCCCUGGCCCCCUGGACCAGGUCUGCAUGAAGGGUCUGCAGGGAGAAAGGUGUCAGCCAAGACCUGGGCCAGGCGUCGGAAGUGAACCUGACCAAUGGUUUGAUCCCCUCCAGCCUGUCCCUGCAUGACCCCGCAUGACCCCCAACAUAUACAGUGGCCCUCACUCACCAGCAGACACAGAGUGGGUGCGGGACUUGAUCGAGAUGGGAGGAGCCUCUGUGGAACUGUCCAUAAUGUCACCUGCAAAGGCAGGGCUAGGGGCUUAGGCUUAGUGAGGGGAAGAAAAACAUGGCUAUUCCCACUCUUCUGCCAGGGAGAGCAAACCCCUUGGGGUCUAUCUCCUCCCCAAAAAUGUACUGCCCUAGACCAGGGUCCCACUUACCAUCCGAGCCAGCCUUCUUGAUCUCUCCAUCUUUGCUCUGUAGGAAAUAGGGAAGUUAAGUUUGAUCCUGUCCCACCCUCGUGCUAGCCUUGUCCUUUUAUUCAUUCUUGUUAUAACCGCCACUAAAUGCCCACCGUGGGCUGGGCAAGAACAUGGCAAACCCAGUCCUGGUCCUCUUGGAGCUCAGUCUGUGAUGGUGGACAGUUAACACACAGAAGCAUAUGCAAGCACAGACACAGAAAGUAAUUUCUUAAUUCUGUGAUUCACUUUCUAUACCUUAAUGUUUCUAAAUUCAAGCUGAGUUUCACUUCAUUUGUGUUUCUUAUUUUCCUGAAGUUAUUAAAGGGAUAGUCCAUAGGGUGGUGGUUCUUAUUAGGAACUGCGAUCAGAGAGUGGCAUUAGCAGGGGGGCCAUGGAAGAGAGUGAAGGAAGGCCCACAGGGAAAUACAGGGAUGGAUGAAGAGGGACCUGGUGUAGCCCAUGGGUGGGGAUGAGAGGCUGGAAGUGGGGCAGGGAGGAGUUCCAGACAGAGGAACCUGUGUAGAGGCUCUGAGAUGAACCGGGGUUGAGAGCAGUGAGGUGAAAGCAGUGACCAGGGCUGAGACCCCACUGGGCCUUGAGGCAGGAUCAGGAGUUAGGGCAAUGUCUUGAGGGAGGAAGCCCCUGGAGGAUUUGCUAUUUCAAAUGCAGAUGGCAAAGCCAGAUGUCUGUUAGACCAUCCACUUCAAGGAGGAGGUAUCAGUGGCCUGGGUCAGGGUAGAAGCCAAGAGAGAAGAAAGGUUGACUCUGAUGACUUUUAUGGGGAGGGGAAAGAAUCGACAGACCUGUCAUGAGUCUCCUGGUCACAUAAAUCACCCACACAAAAGAAGCUACGUGUCACCUGCCUCCUCACUUCCCACGUGUGUCCCUUCCCAGCUCACUUGCUUCCUCUUGCCUUCGGCACUCCCGCUGCCUCUGCUCACGCCAAUCCUCUGCAGCAUCACUUGUACUCGCUGUUCAAAGGUUGGGGCCAGCUCUGUGUCUCCCCGCUCCAGGGGCUGCUGCUGGGGACAGAGAUACCUGAGUGGGGAGAGAGCCCACUGCCCUCACUGUUCCUGCAGAGCCUUCACUCCCUGUCACCAGGCCUCACCUUGUCAGGUCUGGCACCCAACGUUGUCUCCUCCUCCUCAGCAGGUAGCAGUAUCAUGGAGUAGGCCUUGCUUUCCCGAGUGUACCGAGGCCGACUCCUGCGGGUAGGGUCGGGGCUGCUGGUGCCCCCCUCAGCCCCCCCAGCCUCCUCACCACGGCCAGGACGGGCUGGUGGCCGAAGCAAGUCCCCAAGUGUGGUUUUUCGAGAGCGGGGAGCUGCCCCAGGGCUGGUCUCUAGAUCAGGCCGUGACGCACGUGUUGAACGAGGCUUCUUGAAGGCAAAGAGAGUGCCCAGCUUCUUUCGAAGUGUACGGGGGACAGGGGUGG